rnacentral:rRNA from 1 species
AGGACGAACGCUGGCGGCGUGCUUAACACAUGCAAGUCGAGCGGAAAGGUCCCUUCGGGGUACUCGAGCGGCGAACGGGUGAGUAACACGUGAGUAACCUGCCCCUAGCUCUGGGAUAGCUCCGGGAAACCGGGAUUAAUACCAGAUACGACCACUUUAGACAUCUGUCGUGGUGGAAAGGAUUCCGGCUAGGGAUGGGCUCGCGGCCUAUCAGCUUGUUGGUGGGGUAACGGCCUACCAAGGCGACGACGGGUA